AAAACCUUCAAAAACACCCAACUAAAACUGUAGUUGAAAAAUCAAAGUACCCGAACACAAAAUUCAAGUAAAAAUCACGUUCCAAGCAAAAGACGCUAACGUGGCCGAAAUAUAGGAAACAAAAGCCACAACAGGGAGACGAUGCAUCGAUAUGGACUCACAGACCGAAAGGGGAAAAGUGAAGUGAAGUGAUUUCUAUGGCCACACACAUGUGUGUGUUGCAAAACCAUACAAAAAAAAUCACUUAAAGUUGGGCCAACGUUUCCGCUGAGGCCAGACCACUGAACUGGACAAACGUUCCUGUGAAAACUGCAGACAUGGCAUCAAAUAAAACAUGGGGACCAACGGAGGAGGAGAAUACAGUCGGGAUCUGUAAAUCCAACCCAGAGGACGACGAUGGUCCGCUGAAAUUUUCGCCUGCGAAAAAAGCUAAAUAAAUAAAUAUCACCAGCAGGGGGAGUGGAUAAUAAAUAGAUUUGUGCUGUGAAUAAACUCAUGGAUACGUAGCAUAUGUCGGCGAUAGAGGGGAAAGCGUGAAAAGUGUACUCAAUGAAAAUAGCCAUCAGCAAUGUGCUUGUCUUGUAAAUAUGUCUUCUUAACAAAGAUACAAUUAUGCAACUUUCAAUAAAUGGAAUAAAAAGCUUGAGGACAGAA